UGCAGACAGGAACUCAAGAACCCGGUAAUUUAAUUUCCUUAUCUUUUUGUUGUCUGGUGCAUUUUAAUGGGUAUAAAAAGCAGGAGUGCUAAUAUGCGCUAGGGUAAUGAUAAUUUGAUUAACUAAUGAAUAAAGUGAAUAAAGGUUUGUCUCACUCUGGACCUAUUGGGAUUUGCGAUAACUGUAUAAGGAUUUGGGUUCUUGUUAAAGUUGGCAUGUGGGUUGUCAAUUUCUUUAUCACCUGUUCACUCGCCACAUGCCUGGUCUGCUAAGUUGGGCACCACCACCUUAUCUGUUUUGUAAUUUAGCUAAAAAAUAAUAAUAAUCUUAUAAUAGAUGGAAGCUGAGAGCCAG
rnacentral:misc_RNA from 1 species